CCGUGAAGCUGGAUUCGCUAGUAAUCGCGCAUCAGCCAUGGCGCGGUGAAUACGUUCCCGGGCCUUGUACACACCGCCCGUCAAGCCAUGGAAGCCGGGAGUGCCUGAAGUAUGCAACCGCAAGGAGCGUCCUAAGGUAAAACCGGUGACUGGGGCUAAGUCGUAACAAGGUAGC
rnacentral:rRNA from 1 species